GAUCCUGAUCUAGUCCUGGUGCAUUCCUGCUUCAGUCCUCCUUCAGUUCUGGUUGAGUCCUGGGUCCAAGUCCAGGACCAUGUCUCCGAGUCCUGGACUCUCGUAUUUGGACCGAGUGGUUCAGGAGAUCAUCGAGACCGAGAGGGUCUACGUCCGGGACCUGAGGAUGAUCGUCCAGGAUUACCUGGGACACAUCAUCGACCAAUCAGAGCUCAGCAUUCGGCCCGACCAGGUGAGCGCUCUGUUCGGAAACAUCGAGGAAAUCUACGAGUUCAA